rnacentral:rRNA from 1 species
GUAACACGUAAAGAACCUGCCCUCAGGUCUGGGAUAACCACGAGAAAUCGGGGCUAAUACCGGGUGGGUCAUCGGACCGCAUGGUCCGAGGAUGAAAGGCGCUUCGGCGUCGCCUGGGGAUGGCUUUGCGGUGCAUUAGCUAGUUGGUGGGGUAAUGGCCCACCAAGGCGACGAUGCAUAGCCGACCUGAGAGGGUGAUCGGCCACACUGGGACUGAGACACGGCCCAGACUCCUACGGGAGGCAGCAGUAGGGAAUCUUCCACAAUGGACGAAAGUCUGAUGGAGCAACGCCGCGUGAACGAUGAAGGCCUUCGGGUCGUAAAGUUCUGUUGUAAGGGAAGAACAAGUGCCGCAGGCAAUGGCGGCACCUUGACGGUACCUUGCGAGAAAGCCACGGCUAACUACGUGCCAGCAGCCGCGGUAAUACGUAGGUGGCAAGCGUUGUCCGGAAUUAUUGGGCGUAAAGCGCGCGCAGGCGGCCUCUUAAGUCUGAUGUGAAAGCCCCCGGCUCAACCGGGGAGGGCCAUUGGAAACUGGGAGGCUUGAGUAUAGGAGAGAAGAGUGGAAUUCCACGUGUAGCGGUGAAAUGCGUAGAGAUGUGGAGGAACACCAGUGGCGAAGGCGACUCUUUGGCCUAUAACUGACGCUGAGGCG